UACGUAGGGUGCGAGCGUUAAUCGGAAUUACUGGGCGUAAAGCGUGCGCAGGCGGUUCGUUGUGUCGGCGGUGAAAGCCCCGGGCUCAACCUGGGAAUGGCCGUUGAAACUGGCGAACUGGAGUGUGGCAGAGGGGGGUGGAAUUCCGCGUGUAGCAGUGAAAUGCGUAGAUAUGCGGAGGAACACCGAUGGCGAAGGCAAUCCCCUGGACCUGUACUGACGCUCAUGCACGAAAGCGUGGGGAGCAAACGAGG
rnacentral:rRNA from 1 species